GCGGGAAAGAUCAGGCAGAGUUUCUUUAAUGAAAACCCCAGCAAGGGUUGGUGCGUGUGUGAGGUUUUUCCCUGACCCCGGGAUCUCACAGCUAAACCGAGGGAGCCCAGAAGGAAUCCGGAGGAUCUAGCUAGUUGACCUUUCCAUACACUCGGGAGGGAUUUGGUCUCUAAUUCAGAUCAGUUCUGGAGUUAGAAACCCACGAUGUCCACCCUGAAGCUCUCAGGCUAGGAAUCUGCCUUGGGACGCGCCACUGCCCCCUUUAAACCUGGCUGCCCCAGCCCAGAAUGGCUUUGUGCCUCAGCCAAGUUUUCAACAAAGACAAAACCUUUCGCCCCCGUAAGAAAUUCGAGCCUGGAACCCAGCGGUUUGAGCUGUACAAGAAAGCCCAGGCCUCUCUCAAAUCUGGGCUGGAUUUGAAGACUGUGGUCCAGUUGCCACCUGGGGAGAAUAUCAAUGACUGGAUAGCGGUGCACGUGGUUGACUUCUUCAACAGGAUAAACCUUAUCUAUGGGACAAUGUCGGAGUUCUGCACCGAGAAGAGCUGCCCCAUCAUGUCCGGUGGGCUCAAAUACGAAUACAGGUGGCAGGAUGAUCACAAAUACAAGAGGCCGACCAAGCUAUCAGCACCCCAGUACAUGUGUAUGCUGAUGGAAUGGAUCGAGAUGCUCAUUAACAAUGAAGACAUUUUUCCUACCAGGAUCGCUUUUCCUGUGACAGUCAUCCCAGAACCACUCUGUACUGGGCUGUUCCUGGGUUUUUUCAGUGGUCCAGUUGCCAGCUAUUUUCCACCUGCACCACCGUGUCCUAGCCAAUGCCGCAGAAGCAUGUGCCGUCCUGCAGAAACCCGCUGGGAUUCAGAGAGAGUUAUUGACAGGCCUCCAGGAACCAGCAGAAUGUUCUCACGUUCAGAACCCCUCUCCGGAGCCUCACAUACAGAGACGAGGAACUGGCUGUGGUGGUUUGUGGACGUUCUUUCUGGCUGAGAGUAAGAGAAUAUGGGUCCGUAUCCAUUGAGCCCUGCGAGGUGUGACUACACUGCACUUAAACAGCCCCUUAGCUCAAGCCCUGCAAGCCUGAGUCAGCUGGCACGGGCCAGCUGCAGGUGUCUAAUUGCAGAGGAGACAUAUGCUGAAAGGAUGGAGCCUUUCACAGUUACCCACCAUUGUCAAUACUUCCCCAGUUAAUUACUCUGACAAGCUGAGGUUAAUCACUUUGUAGCUUUGGCAUUUCAGAAGAUGGAGCUGCCUGGGUGAAAAGGAAAUGCCACACUGAUUUGUUUCUUAUGAGGGCUCUUCCUUUUUAUGAACUCAACAAUAGAACGGGUUUGAGUGAGAGUGACAAGGCCGGGGAGCCAGUCGAGGGAAUGAAAGCACAUAAACAGAAGAAGAUGCUUGAUGUGUUCUACAAAGAGCCAGACCUUGUAGGGCUGAGGGAUACCCUGGUAAUGGAUCAAGGGGGUGGGGAGGGAAGGCUGAGACUACAGCUUGUCAAAAAAUGGGGCGGGGGGGAAUCUGCAGAAUUCAGAGAUGUUAAAGCCAGGAGGGACAAUUACGAUCAUCUAGCCUGACCUCCUCUAUCACACAGGCCAUAAAAUCUGCAAAAACGCCUGCUUUCAGCCCAUCACUUCUUUUGGAGCAUAUUGGGGCCAGGGGAUUGGCUUUAGGGUUAGCAUUAGGAGCGGGCCGAGGGUCCAGGAGCCAACUACCAGAAAUCAGGCCUGCUUGGAACACCAGAGACAAACCAGAGGGCAGGGAUCACAAGUCAGUUACUAAGACUCCAGACACCGGGAGGUCAGGAUCAGAAGGCAGGACUAGACCAGUGGUCCAUGGCAGACUGAACUGUACAGACAACUACCUCGUUCCUCUUCUGGCUUAAAUAGGGGCUGCAGCCCAAUCAGGAGCUUGCCCAAUCAGAGCAGAGGGCUGGGGCUUGUGCCCUGGUCGGGUGUCAUGGGCCCCGUCCCAGCUGCUGACUGAGCCCCAGUGGAGGAUUGGAGUGUGAUGAAAUCCAGGUCCAUAUUGGGAGUUGAGACCCCUGGGGCCUGACAGCUAUAGCAGAGCAUCCAGAAAGAAAUCAAGUUUUGGUUUAAAGAAUUCAAGUGAGGGAGAAGCCAUCACAGCCCGACAUGAGCUGUUACAAUGGUUAAUUCCCCUCACGCUUAAAUAUUUGCACCUGAUUCCUAGUCUGAAUUCGUCUGGCGUCCGCUCUCCACCGGUGGGUCUGGUUACAGGGUUUUCCCCUGCUGCGUUAAGGAGCUGUCUAUUAUCGGUAGCCUGUUCCCUAGGGAGGUACCUGUAGACGGUGAUCAAGUCACCUCUUCGCCGUCUCCUGGUUAAAGUAACUAGAGGUUGCAUCCUUUGUCGUUUGUGUAGGCUGAGCUCGUCGCACAGCCAGCGGCUCUUUACAUCCUUUCGUUUCUGCCCCCUCCACAAGCUCCUGUGCCACCCCCUCUCCUUGCAAUGCCCCCCAUCUCCCCUCUGCCAGGGGUUCUGUGUUCCCCCUCCUUGCAUACCAAGGUCCCCCAUUCUCCCCCACCCCCAAUACCAGCAACUGUGUGUGCAUGCCCCAUGCUCUCCAUUCCCUGUCCUAGCAGGAGCGCUGCGUGAACCCUUAUUACUCUCUUCCCUCCAUUGAGAGGGGCUGUGUGGGCCUACCUUCCUCCCUCUCUGCAUACCAGGGAUUCCCCACCAUUCCCAAGUACCAGAGUCCCCCAUUCUCCACUCACCUUCCCAGAGCUGGGUGCUCUUCCCCCAGCCCUUUCCCUACCCUCCCUCCCCAAUUCUUCUUCUUGCUUCUUGACACACAGAGUGACUAGUUGGCAAACGGCCCCUGGACUGUAAAAUGUUCCUGCGAUUCAGGACAACGAAGGAGUAGAGCCGUCUCUGUUUGAGGGUAAAUCACAUGUAGACAGAAGGGCAAAACUCAUCCCGUGAAUCGCUGGCUACAGAGAAUUAAGCCCCGCUCCAGAAAUUCCUCUUUGGACUCAGCCCCUGGGCAGCUGAACAGUGGAGUCCCAUGAAGAUUUGAGAGGUCGUACGAUUCCCGUGGCAGCGUUAUUGUCAUGGGGCCCCAUCCUUACGGAUUCUGCUCACUCAGGCAACGCUCUGACCUGAGGCUGAUACUGACUAGAGGAGGGGUCCCCUUCCCCAAGAACUUCCAGCAGGUGUGCACCAAGAUCCUCACCCGCCUCUUCCGAGUCUUCGU